rnacentral:piRNA from 1 species
UAGCAGACUAGGGAAACAACUGU